rnacentral:lncRNA from 1 species
UUUCUGUCUCAGUCUCUCUGUCUCCCUUCGUUCUCUUUCUCUCCCCCUGCUACCCCCCCCCACAGUUACACACACACACACACACACACACACACACACACACACACACACGCAGUGUGAAAGAUGCGAGCCAUAGCAUCUCGUAACAUGAAGGCCAUCCAGCUCCAUCCUCCCACUGCUGCUUGAACAAUAUGCUUAACACGUAGUGCCGCAGUCGCUGCUUGGAUUGAAUGUGUUCAUGCACAGAUUUUAUCAUCUUGUUACUCAAACGACUGAUGGCUUCUGACCCUGCCUGAAAAUUUCCUAAGAGGUAACAGUUCUAGGACACAGAUGCUGGAGGGAGUGGAGGAAGAAGUUUAAUUACCACAUACAGCUCUUCCAUAUGCAAGGUCUCUGGGGCAAAACUGUCAUUCUGUCUGAAGCCAGACCCUCAAUGUCAGACUAAGAGAGUCGGAUGGAGACUACAUCUUCUGUGUGUGUUGCAAUGGGAGGACUUCUCUCCACCGAGUUUAGUGAGGAAUAGCCCCAUGCUUCCUCAAGAAAAAAACACUACACUCACACCACAUACACACCACAAAACAAAGAAUGGGUAAAAAGGGCACACACACACUUUUACAGUUUAUACCAAACCAGAAUCAAAACCAAAACCAGAGUAUCAAGAAAACCAAGCCAGAUCAAAACCAAAACCAAAGUAUCA